UCCGGGAGACUGGCCAAUGAGGGCGAGAAGCCACUUCUGGGGGCGGAUCUGGUAACGGAAAGGGGCGGCGUGCCUUUCCGAGCUUGGACCUCGUGCCCCAGGCUGCGUAGGUGGACGGCGGAUCCUGACGCGAGCGCAGGCGGUGCGGGAGAUGGCUGAUUCUGAUCCUGGAGAAAGAAACUAUGACAACAUGCUGAAAAUGCUGUCAGACCUGAAUAAAGACUUGGAAAAGCUACUAGAAGAGAUGGAGAAAAUCUCAGUGCAAGCCACAUGGAUGGCCUACGACAUGGUGGUGAUGCGCACCAACCCCACACUGGCGGAGUCCAUGCGCCGGCUGGAGGAUGCCUUCCUCAACUGCAAGGAGGAGAUGGAGAAGAACUGGCAAGGGCUGCUCACUGAGACCAAGCACAAACAGUAGGCCCCCUGCCCACCCACGGCCACCGUGCUUCUGCCUGCCAGUGUGGAGAAGCCCCGGGGGCACAGAGCCCUCUCUGCUUGGCAGAGUAACAGCAACCGUAAUAUAUAGCUAUGAGAAGAAUGGAAUCCGAUGUCUCGGCUAAGUCCGCAGCUAACAAGGGAAAGAGCUCAGGGCUGUACCUGAGCAAGCGGUAGAAGAGGUGGCCCCCAGUGACAUAGAUGUCCCCACGGCAGGCCACAGCCUCGUGUGCCACAGGGAAGGUGCCCGCAGGGAGGGGCGCGCGCGAGGUCCAGGCAUCCGUGCGCGGGUC